UGUUUCCCAGAUUCGCUUUUCAAAAUUAGUCCUGGGCUGGCCUUCAAUACUGCAAACACAUUCUGUGUGGCCACAAGGGAGGACUGCAUAGAAUUCUUGGACCAACUACGAAGCUUUGGGGGCCUGACAAGCUGAGAAAGUGCGAGAAAAAAUGACACAGCAGUCUAGCUGUGACAACUUCAUUAUGAAGAAUGUUCGCUUUCUCAGUUCAUAACAGCGGCCAUUCUACAAGCAAAUUUUAAAAGACCCUCUCAAACCUGCAAGCCAAGAAUAACGACAUUCUCAUCAAAGAUGCAAAUGGACGGUAGAAAGGGCUGCUCCGAGUGUUGUGGGUGCUAACCUGGAAUUGUUAUCUGUUACGAGAGCAAAUCCAUCAAAUCCGACCAGACUUGCCACAAGCAGGCCAGCCCAUGGAAGCCAGUGGCUUGAUGCUCAACUUCAGCUGCUGGCAGAAAGGAGAAAAAGACAUCACCCAUCCGAAAAAUUUUAAUCCCCCAGCAAAAUACAAUACUCAAUUUUUCAUUAACCUUCUGACACCUGGACUCACAGAGGAUCCCCACACUAAUCACUAAUGGGUUUUGCAUUACCAAUUAGUGUAGCAAAUUCUCCAGCAUUGGUGCCAAAGGGUUAAUCAUUAGUUUCACACCACUGGGUGGUCAGAGUUAGAAGAGCAGCUCCUGAACCCAAAAGAGUGGAGAGUGAGGGGCUGGGGGGUGGAGAGAGCUCUCAUUAUCAAGAAGAAACAUGCAGCUCAUAGGCAUUGACCUCCAUAUCUCUCUCCUGGCAUCUUGCCUCAAGGUGAAUUUAAGUAUUAUACAAGUAUGCACGUGUGCACACACAUGCAUACAUGUUUAUACACAGUUCUGGGCCCAGAACAAAUCACCAACCUAGCCAGUUUCUAUUGAGUCUGUCCCAUCAAAGGUAGAUCAGGCCAGAGGAAUUCUCUCUCUCUCUCUCUCUCUCUCUCAGCACCUCUGUCUAUUUGCUUCUCUAAGCAAUGACUUUCCCAUGGGAAUGAAAAAAUUUGCCAUUUCAGAGGGAGCUGGGUUUUGAGAAGUGUUUGAUCUCUCUUAAGAGAUACUUCUCUGAAGUUCUGCCAACCCUCGAUUAUAUGUACAAAUGAGGCUUACAGAAAGUAUGGAAAGAUUCGAUUCACAGAUAAUCUUCAAACUCCGGUUUGGUCUAUAUUUUAGUUUCUUUCUGAACAAAUUGUACCAGAGCAAUUAACAAACAAAACUGAUUGGAUGUUUCCUUUAUCCUUUUAUGGUCAAUUUUGUGGAUGUCAGCAGCAUGAGGAAAUUGUCAAAACACUGGCAAAGAGGAGAGAGGAAAGGGAAGAAACAAAAUACCCAGAUAGUCUGCAAGCUAGAUAAUCUGCUCCUGAAUAAUUGAGAAGAAUCUAAUUUCAAAGAUAAUAAAAGAAGGCUCAGAGAGCAAUUCCAUCUUGAAAAUGCACAACCCCUUCCCCCUAACCCCAAAAUAGCCGGUAGGAAAACAAAUAAGUAAACAAGAAAACCGCAAGAAAAAUUUGAACCUACUGUCCCCAUCCACAUUUUCCCUGAUCUAAUCUACAUGUGUUCUAAGUUAAAUUAUAUUCUAAAGAGGUGCAGGGCGUGGAGGAAGAGAAGGAAACACAGAAGACACUUCUCACUUGUGUCCCGUCUAGCUGUCUUGCUUUGUCGUCAGGUACUGAAAGCUAACACGGUUGCUUUCAAAACUAUAUGGUCUAAAACUUCGGAAAGUGACCCACUUCCACACUUCUCUCUCCUCUCUCUCUCUCUCCCCCCCCCCCUUUUUUUUAGAAAACCCAACAUUCAAAAAAAAGAACAGCAAUGACUCAGCACUUUAUUAUUUAUUUUUUAGUCCCAAAGUUUUGACUCCUUACACACACACAACACACACACAAUGCUUAUGCGCAUUUGAAACUGAAAUGGGAAACUUUGCCACACUCGAUUCUCCACGGUGCUUCCACUCAAAGCCAGAAUUUAAAACUUUUCAGUUAAGGGAAGAAAGACUCUUAAUGAGCCUAAUCAUGCACAUUAUUUUGGCUGGAAUCAUUGACUGACUGCACUUACUUAGUUCUGCUUUAGAAAUGAAAAUCUAAUAAAGUAACUGGCAGUUUAAAUGUCACAGAAAUUUUCUCCAACAUCCCAACUGGAAUUGUGAAAACAGGCUCAAAUUCCUCUAAUCUCUCUCUCUUUCACCUUCAAAUGCCACUCUUUUAAACCAAACCAUUUCCUAAGAAAUAGCAGAACUCGGCUGGGUUCAGAGGUCGGGGCAAGGGUGGGGAGGAGGAAGACUCUUUCUUCAAGUUGGAAGGGAUUUGCUUUUUUCCACACACUAAGGCAAGACGGACCGGAAUCUUGAGGCUGGGAGUGUUCUGCCUCUUGCAAGGGAAUUCAAAGGAGUCAUUGUAUUUGAUACUUCGCUUCCCAAUUGGCCUCUGACAGCAACAUCAGAAGCAACAGAUACUUCAGUUCUACAUCUGGAAAGAGGCAUUUCUUUUUACAAAGAAAAAGAAAAAAAAACCACUCCUAAAGACAUUGAAGCCUAAUUACUCUAUAUCCCAUAAUCUUAAAGAUUGAGAUCUCUCUGAUACUAUGUGAUAACCCCUUGAGGAAUGGGAGCAGCUCCAUUAGGACUUGAACAGAUAGCAUCUCUAUACUUACCCCUCUAUAAAACUAAUAUUCAAAAUAAAUAUACUGGCUGGAUGCUUUCGUUUCCCCUGCCACCGAAUUGUAAUGAUCUUUUUGCAGGGUACAAUACCAUUUAUUAAGGUAUCAAGUAGACAAUAAACUCUUCACUAAAAUGUAACAGCGAUUUUUGUACAGGACUAAAUGUUCAAGGAAUCAGUUUAGGCUAAUCACUGGCCCACUUGCUUUUCAAGAAGAUGUAUGCACCAAAUCUUCAUAUUUAUGAUGGAGCCUUUAGAGUUCUGAAUGGUGCUGAAUGGUGCUUUAGAGUUCUGAACGGUCUAUGGUGUAGACCAUAGCAUCAUAAAUUCAUGCUAAGGAACAGAAAGUACUCUGAGCAUCAUGGUUACUACAGUCAUGGUGGUUGGGACCACUACAUAAUAUGCCCUGGAAGAAAUAUCCCCCAUUUCUAGGGCUGCUGUGACCCAGAGAUGAGCUAAAGAAAGGAAAAAAAAAAGAAAAAGGAUGGUAGUAGCAAUCUGGGAAGCACUGAGGGAGGUACAGGAGAGAGGGUGAAGCAGGAGAGAGGGCAGUAGUUGGUUUAUGAAACCAUUAGCAAGCAUCAUAAGAGAACAACAGACAGCCACUGAGAAAGCAUCCAUUUCCCAAAUUUUAGUUAUACGUGAAGACCCCUAGGUAAUUUUGGUUGUUCUGUCAGCCAAGUCAAACCAGGCCUCUCAGAAGCCAAUGGAAACGUCUCAGGUUUUCUCAUUCUGCCAUUCUGAUGGAAAUUAAACUUGUAAAUCAAUAACAAGACAGAACCAACUCUGUGUAAAAGCACUACUCCUUUAUCCUCUCUUCUCCAGUAUUCUUGCCCAAAUGAUUUAAGAUUCCCAAAGGCAAGUGAAAAGAUUUAAGUCUGAGACUUGUUUGUAAAAUUUCAGCUUAAGUCUCCUAUUGAAAGAACAUUGUAAAGUAGGCAUGUAGGAAAAAAAAUGUAUGGCACUCAUACACUCAUGGGCUACUCCUCAAAAACUUUUGAAGUGACUGACAUGGGCAUCCCAGGGGAAUCUCGUAUUAUACACAUGACAAACAUCAACAGACUUCUCCAAUUUGCCCUUGUUCAUCCUUUGCUGGCUCUCCUCCACCUCUGCCCUUAUCCUGGGCGUCUUUUUUCCUUUUUUUUUUAAUGUAUGUCAUCUGCUAUUCUUUCCUCUAGAUUUACCAUCUGUUAUUCAGCUUUAUUUUUUCCUAUUGUAUAUUUCUGUCACAACUUCUUUAUUUUUAUUAUCCCACGAUAAGCACUGCAUUCCUCUAGACCACAUGAUCAACACUAAAGAAGUCCUCCAACUAACGAUAUUGAUUCCCAUUAUGGAGACAGCCACUUUCCCCGGCUCUCAGUUGUCUUUCUCACUCUACCAGUUAAGACUUUCCACAUCUUGAGCAAGAUUAAGAAAUGUGUGCUCAUUGUUGGCCCCUUGCUGCUGCAGAAAUGAUGAUGUUUGCUGAGAAAUCUUGAAAAAAACACCAAGCAAAAUGAGAGUAUGACAUUCCCAGCUAAGAUCAGAACCCAUACUUGGGAAGAGUGUCAUCCAACCCCUGAUUCUUGAACCUCAAUCCUGAGACCCCAGGAGCACCCAGUGCAUCCAUGUUUCUCAAAAGACUUCAGUUCAGUUCUUGAUUCUUAACUCCAUACCUCUGCUUACUGAAAAAUUAGACUGAAGCCUAAUUUGGGGCAAUCUCAUUUCCUAGUGACUUUGCAGUCACUUACUCUUUUGAACACUUUUUUUGGGCUUUGCCAAAAUCCUGCAUUUUCAUUCACUCCAUUGUAAAGGCUUCUUUUCAGCUAUAAAGUCUUAUGUCAACAAAAAAAUGGAAAAACAUUCCAUGCUCAUGGAUUGGAAGAACAAACAUUGUUAAAAUGUCUAUACUACCCAAAGCAAUCUACACAUUUAAUGCAACUCUUAUCAAAAUGCCACAAGCAUUUUUCACAGAGCUAGAGAAAACAAUCCUAAGAUUUGUAUGGAACCACAAAAGACCCCAAAUAGCCAAAGCAACUCUGAAAAAGAAAAGCAAAGCUGGAGGCAUCAUGAUUCCAGACUUCAAGCUAUAUUACAAACCUGUGGUCAUCAAGACAGUAUGGUACUGCAACAAAAACAGACACUCAGAUCAAUGGAACAGAAUAGAAAACCCAGAAACGGAACCACAACUAUAUGGUCAACUAAUCUUUGAAAGAGCAGGAAAGAAUAUCCAAUGUAAAAAAAAGACAGUCUGUUUUCAACAAAUGAUGUUGGGAAAACUGGAUGGCAACAUGCAGAAGAAUGAAACUGGACCACUUUCUUACACCAUACACAAAAAUAAGUUCAAAAUGGAUGAAAGACCGAAAUGUAAGACAGGAAACCAUCAAAAUCCUAGAGGAGAACACAGCAACCUUUUUGACCUCGGCUGUAGCAGCUUCUUACUAGACGUGUCACUGCAGGCAAGGGAAAUAAAAGCAAAAAUGAACUAUUAGGACUUCAUCAAGAUAAAAAGCUUCUGCACAGUGAAGGAAACAAUAAACAAAAUUAAAAGGCAACCUACAGAAUGGGAGAAUAUAUUUGCAAGUGAUAUAUCUGAUAAAGGGUUAGUAUCCAAAAUCUAUAAAGAACUUAUCAAACUCAAAACCCCCAAACCAAAUAAUCCAGUGAAGAAAUGGGCAGAAGACAUGAACAGAUAUUUUUCUAUAGAAGACAUCCAGAUUCCUAACAGACACGUGAAAAGAUGCUCAACAUCACUCAUCAUCAGGGAAAUACAAAUCAAGACCAUGAUGAGAUACCACCUCACACCUAUCAGAAUGGCGAAAAUUAACAACACACAAGAAACAACAGGUGUUGGCCAAGAUGUGGAGAAAGAAAAAGAGUUCUGCACUGUUGGUGGGAAUGCAAACUGGUGCAGCCACUGUGGAAAACAAUAUGGAGGUUCCUCAAAAAGUUAAAAAUAGAACAACCCCACGAUCCAUCAAUUGCACUACUAGGUAUCUACCCAAAGGAUACAAAAAUACAGAUUCGAAGGGAUACUUGCACUGUGAUGUUUAUCAUUAUCAACAAUAGCCAAACUAUGGAGAGAGCCCAAAUGUCCAUUGACUGAUGAAUGGAUAAAGGAGAUGCGGUAUAAAUACACACACACACACACACACACACACACACACACACACACACACACAAAAUGGAAUAUUACUCAGCCAUCAAAAAAUGAAAUCUUGCCAUUUGCAAUGAUGUGGAUGGAGCUAGAGUGUGUUAUGCCAAGUGGAAUAAGUCAGAGAAAGACAAACACCAUAUGAUUUCACUCAUAUGUGGAAUUUAAGAUGAACACAUGGGAGGGGAAAAAAAAGAAGAGAGAGGGAAACAAACCAUAAGAGGCUCUUAAUGAUAGAGAACAAACUGAGAGGUGAUAGAGGGAGAUGGGUCAAGGGUUGGGCUAGAAAGGUGAUGGGUAUUAGGAGGACACUUGUUAUGAUGAGCACUGUAUAUAAGUGAUGAACCACAGCAUUCUACUCCUAAAACCGAUAUUGCACUGUAUGCUAACUCACUAGAAUUUAAAUAAAAUUUCAAAGGAAACAAAAUACAAAAACUUCUAGGAGGGUGAUGUCAUUAGAGUGAUAAAGAAAAGAACAAAGGCAGAGAUUGUAUCUGCUUGGUUUACUGAUGUACAUCCAGUACCUAGAGCAGGAACUAGAUCAUAGUAAGCUAAAUCAGUACCUAUUUAAUGAACAUGCACGAGUUGUUCAUGAGCAUGAGGGAUAAGACCAGUCUUAAAGGAGGAAAGGAUUCAUGUUUGUUGAAAUGGUAAAUAAACUUCCAUCCUCCCCCCACCUGAGGAUUUAA